GUAGGGUGCAAGCGUUAUCCGGAAUCAUUGGGCGUAAAGAGCUCGUAGGCGGUUCAGCAAGUCGGCUGUGAAAUCCCGAGGGCUUAACCUCGGAACUGCAGUCGAUACUGCUGUGACUAGAGUCCGGUAGAGGAGAAUGGAAUUCCCGGUGUAGCGGUGAAAUGCGCAGAUAUCGGGAGGAACACAAGUAGCGAAGGCGGUUCUCUGGGCCGGUACUGACGCUGAGGAGCGAAAGCGUGGGUAGCAAACAGGAUUAGAUACCCUGGUAGUCCACGCCGUAAACGUUGGACACUAGGUGUGGCGUUCCGACCAACGGGUGCCGUGCCGAAGCUAACGCAUUAAGUGUCCCGCCUGGGGAGUACGGCCGCAAGGCUA
rnacentral:rRNA from 1 species